rnacentral:rRNA from 1 species
UACGUAGGCAGCGAGCGUUGUUCGGAGUUACUGGGCGUAAAGGGUGCGUAGGUGGCUCUAUAAGUAUGGUGUGAAAUCUCCCGCUUAACUGGGAGGGUGCGCCGUAGACUGUGGGGCUAGAGUGUGGGAGAGGAAAGUGGAAUUCCUGGUGUAGCGGUGAAAUGCGUAGAUAUCAGGAGGAACACCGGUGGUGUAAACGGCUUUCUGGACCAUAACUGACACUGAGGCACGAAAGCGUGGGUAGCAAACAGG